AUGGAUGUAUCUAGCACUGAACUUUCUGGUGAUGAAGGAGGUUUUGACAAAGCUCUUUUGAAGUUCUAUAUGAAUCAAAAAGUAAAAUGCUUGAAUAGGAAAUUAUCAUCUGCUGGGAGAAGGAAUGUGGAACCUCGUAAUGUCUUCUUCGUCGAGGAAUCCAUUGUCUCCGUCUUGUACAUGCGAGUCGUCUGGUUCUUUCCAUUCUCCUUCAUUAUUGUGGGAUUAAAUUCUGCUCUGCCAUCUUCGCUUGCUGUUGCUACGGCAAUGCAUUUCUUCCAAUGUCUGCAGAAUUUUCCAUGUAAGAGAUGA
rnacentral:rRNA from 1 species